ensembl:snRNA U2 U2 spliceosomal RNA
GUUGCUUCCCAGCCUUUUGGCCAAGAUCAAGCAUAGUAUCUGUUCUUACCAGUUUAAUAUCUGACACGUCCUCUAUCUGAAGACAGUAUAUUAAAUGGAUUUUUGGAACCAGGCGGUGAAGCAGGAGCUUGCUCCAUCCGCUGCACGAGCCGCCUGGCAUCGCAGUCCUUCCGAGGGUGAUGCAGCCCCG